ensembl:lncRNA
AGAACCACUCCCCCACUACGGACCACCACAGACCCCCUCCCUCCACCUUCACCACUCCCAGCAGCAGAGCCCGGAUCCUGGUACUGUUUAUUAAGGAGACAGCUGCCCAGCUCAUGCCUGAACCUAGAGACAUCAUCGAUGUGUACCCACCAUGGUGAGAGUGCACCAGUCUGCAGUAGUUACAGUAUUGGUAAUGCACAGCUAUGGUGUCAUGUUAUAAUUUUAAUGGCACGGGAAAUGCCAGAGUCAUUAUGUCAUCUAUCAUCGAGCACCUUCCUGUGUGACAUGUGAAUGGUUCCCACCCCCAUACUCCUUCACUGACUGGGCCCCUCCAUCCGCCUAGCCGCCUACCACUCCUUGUGAGACAGUGGAG